GAGGGGAAACGACAUCGAAAGCUUGCUUUUGAUGGGCGUCGACCGGCGCACGGGUGAGUAACGCGUAUCCAACCUGCCCACCACUUGGGAAUAACCUUGCGAAAGUAAGACUAAUACCCAAUGACGUCUCUAGAAGACAUCUGAAGGAGAUUAAAGAUUUAUCGGUGAUGGAUGGGGAUGCGUCUGAUUAGCUUGUUGGCGGGGUAACGGCCCACCAAGGCGACGAUCAGUAGGGGUUCUGAGAGGAAGGUCCCCCACAUUGGAACUGAGACACGGUCCAAACUCCUACGGGAGGCAGCAGUGAGGAAUAUUGGUCAAUGGACGAGAGUCUGAACCAGCCAAGUAGCGUGCAGGAUGACGGCCCUAUGGGUUGUAAACUGCUUUUAUAAGGGAAUAAAGUGAGCCUCGUGAGGCUUUUUGCAUGUACCUUAUGAAUAAGGACCGGCUAAUUCCGUGCCAGCAGCCGCGGUAAUACGGAAGGUCCGGGCGUUAUCCGGAUUUAUUGGGUUUUAAGGGAGCGUASGCCGGAGAUUAAGCGUGUUGUGAAAUGUAGACGCUCAACGUCUGCACUGCAGCGCGAACUGGUUUCCUUGAGUACGCACAAAGUGGGCGGAAUUCGUGGUGUAGCGGUGAAAUGCUUAGAUAUCACGAAGAACUCCGAUUGCGAAGGCAGCUCACUGGAGCGCAACUGACGCUGAAGCUCGAAAGUGCGGGUAUCGAACAGGAUUAGAUACCCUGGUAGUCCGCA
rnacentral:rRNA from 1 species